rnacentral:ncRNA from 1 species
UUAAAUACGCCGAAGAGGACUAGUACGUUUUAUCUAAGCGCUUAGAGAGCUGUUGGCUGGUGUAAAACAGCGGCAAAGAUGGAACCGAACUCGCCUCGGAGUAGCUCGCUGAAAUGAUCAAGAGUAGGUGGAGCCGGAGCCUAACCGUUACAGUAGGGGGAUAUAAGGUCGGCAAUCUCUUUGCAGAUAGUGGACCCGUAUCUGUGAGAGCAUGCUUUGGGCAUGAAUGAGAGUGGUACCGCGUAAGAUGUUAAAAUCUUUCGUCUCUAUA